rnacentral:rRNA from 1 species
AGUGAGGAAUAUUGGUCAAUGGGCGAGAGCCUGAACCAGCCAAGUCGCGUGAGGGAAGACGGCCCUAUGGGUUGUAAACCUCUUUUGUCGGGGAGCAAUGCCGAGGACGUGUCCUCGGAGGGAGAGUACCCGAAGAAAAAGCAUCGGCUAACUCCGUGCC